CGAGGAGGAGGAGGAUCCUAGGACCCAGCCCAAUCCCUCUGCAAGGCCUGUAAGACAUCACACCCGCACCCCUGAGCAGCCAGAGAGCCUCACAUUACCUGCCUACUCCCACAGCCACCAGCCUUCUCUCCCCGCAUGGAGCCAAUGUCUACUGGUUCCUGGUUCCUCCUUGCUCCUGGAGCGGUCCACCUGUCCUGCACAUUCCAGGCUUCACAGAAAGUUUGGGAACAGAUGCAACCCAACCAGAAUUCAACAGGACAUGCUUACAGGUGUUGAGAUUGGGUUGACUCAAGUAUGAAAACGAUCUGACACUCUCGGACUUGGGUCAGGUAGCCUCUAAUCACAUUCUUCUUCCCAUGGGGUUGGCGUGGCAGUAACUGCAUUUCUUGCUACUGCAAGUCACCCUCCUGCCACCCACCCUCACUAAGCAGGGUGUGCUACAGGGUGAGCAUGCCAACAAAUUGCAGUGCCUCUCAUUUUGCAGCACACACAACACAGAGAGGCAGCCAGAAGCAGGAGCAGAACAUGUGGUUGCCACAUCAGUAACCUCACAUUCAGGAGACAUCCAGAGAUGUAUCUAAGGCAUGCAGUACCAGAAGUCCCAACCAGGAGCCAUCAACUUUGACUGUUUCCCAACUGUUGACUCACUCGCACGGAAUAAUGGACUUUCUACUGAGGGGUCUGCAUGGUAGUGGAGCAUACAUAACUGAAGAAUGGUUGAAAAUUUGCCAGUGAAACACGUGGCAGAAACAGAGAACUCCUUCAGAGGUUGUGAGGGCCGUCAACUCCAUCUUGCUGUGAAGGGUCAUCCAUGACUGUGGCCGGAUUUGCUGCUCUGGGGUUUCCAAACUGCAGGAGAGCCAUUGAUGGGACCCACACCUCGAUCCAAGCACCAGAACACUGAGCAGCCCAGUACAUUAAUCAAAAGGGCUAUUUUUCUAUGGUGCUGCAGACCCUGGUCAACCACCAGGGACAAUUUAAAGAAAUUUUUGCUGGGUGGUCGGGCAGGGCACACAAUACCUGAGUGUUCAGAAACUCUAGCCUGUACCUCAAGCUGGAGGUGGGCACAUUUUUCUUCCAUCGUGAACUUGGCAUUGAGGAUGUGCAGAUGCCACUGUGCAUCGCCAGGGGUGCAGCUUACCCCUGA